AUGGGAACAAAAUUAUACAGUGCCUCACGUUUUACUAAAACAAAGAAAAUAAUUUAUAAAACAUGCAACAAUUUCUUAAUCAGUGUACAGACAAAUAUAUUUUCCCAAGAAGUUGUCUGUCAAAAUAAAGGACAGGUAACGAAUAACAAAAUGUCAAUAUUCUCAUAUAUUAGGCCUAUAUUUUAAUUUAUAUUUUAAAAUUCCUUUAAUAAAACAACAUGCAUUUUUGUUAUUCGUUACCUGUCCUUUAUUUUGACAGACAACUUCUUGGGAAAAUAUAUUUGUCUGUAGACUGAUUAAGAAAUUGUUGCGUGUUUUAUAAAUUAUUUUCUUUAUUUUAGUAAAACGUGAGGCACUGUAUAAUUUCGUUCCCAUUAUUUAGGCCUAAUUAAAACAAGAAACGAAUAAAUUAAACCUGCACAAUUUAGCUAAAUCAUUGAAAGUCUAAAGAAUGGACGGAUUAAUAAAACGUUCUCAUGUUUAAACUCAAGUUCUCUCAUUAUAAUCAACAAAAUACACACAAUGUAAAUAAGAGCUUCAUUAAUUGACAACUUCAGUAAUUUUAAAGGGAGCCUUCUUUACUUGCUUUCAUAUAAUUUAAGUAAAAAAAUAAAAUUGCAGCCGCAUUUAAAUGCAGGUGUGUAAAUUUGUCUGCGUGCAAGAUUUGCGCGGCGCGAGUCAUGCUGAGUGCACGCGCAGCAUUUAUUCUUAUUUGUUUUAUCUUCAUUACAAAUCUUGUUUGGUUUUAUUUUGGAUAAUUGCAUGUAAAAAAUAAUUUACGUUGUAAUGCAUAUGCAAAAUGUGAAUUAUUAUUCAUAUUCAAGUGUUUGUGCGAAAAUUAUUAAUGCGCAUGCAGGACAGGGAGGCGCCCUCUUGAUCACUUGAAAUUUUUCUUGAUUAUGAAUUAACUUAAAAUUGUGGCGUCUCACAUACAUGAUAAAUAUAUCUACAGAAAGCUCAUCACUCAAGAUAUUGAUUCAAAUGAUUUUAUACCAAGAUUAGAUUUUCCAUGGGUAAGUUCUAGGUACCUGCUCCUUUGUAAAUCAGCCAGCCCCCAGACACACUUUCAAGUUUUGGACAAAGAUCUUUGAGAGUUGAACAUACCUUCAAGAGUAAUAUAAAUCAUACCAUCAUAUUGACAAAAGAACAUUGGUUUUGAUAGUGGACUAUAUUAAAAUAUUAUAUGACAAAAAAAAUGUUGCCUCACCUCAUCAUGGGUGUAGUUCCCUGGUAUCAGCGUGGACCUGCGUCCCAAACCAGCUUGCAGAUGGAAAACUUCUUCACUGCCUUUGGGAGUGUGCUCAACAAUCUUGGGUAAGAGAUAAAAUGUAACUUCUAUCUCUUUGACUGGUGUGAAGUGGUUGGAAGGCCCUUGAACACGCCAGCGCUUUCCACUGGCUCCAAAAAGGGCAGGAAAAGACCUGUGAUGAUAAUUUUUUAAUUUGAUAUUACACAAUACAAGUAUAUCUCACUAGCUAUAGUUUGAGAAUUUAAAUUGAUUAAUGUAAGGGACGAGUCAGUCUGACAAAGAAACCAAAUAUAGUGAAGGACCUUGUCAUUUCUGUGUGGACACUGGGUCGGCCAUCUCUCCCUCUUUCCUGACUCCUUUCCUGUCUGCUAGAAUGACAUGCCGUGUUCAGAAGAUGCAUCACAUUAUUUUAUACAUGUUAAUCUCUGUGUGUGUGUUAUUUGUUGGGAAACUAGACAACACCUUGGAGUCUCUGGGCAAGUUUGAUGUUGGGCACUGGGUCCAACAGGACCAGGGGAAGGUAUUGCAUUUGUGAACAAAUUUAGGAGCUGUCUUCCUGAAUUGACUACUUCUGAGUUGUCUCCCUGUCAAAAGUAUAAAAAUUGAGCAGUAGGUUGGAAAAGCUAUCCAAUACAUUAACUUAAUAACCCAUAAAACAAUAUAAAUAACUUAACCCUCUGGAGUCUAAGGGUAUUUUUGGGGCCUGAAGAAGUUUUGUCAUGCCCUGACAUUUGUGCCUUUUUCAGUUUCUUAUAAAUAUCUAAAUGGCUAAAGUUUAAUCUCACUGUAAUCAGCACAAACUAGGCUAUAAUAAUAUGUGAGCAGCAUGUAUGUACAUGAUUGUGUUUUUGAGAAAAAAAAUGUUAUGCGUGGUUAGUGAAAAACUAAAAAUGUUAAAUCACUUGAAUAAGGCAAUAAAACACAUACAGAAAAUUGGUUCCCGGGACUUUUUGAGAACUGGAGCUUG
ensembl:lncRNA